CUACUUUCAUAUUCCUUUUGCUUUAAAAAGCAAAAACCAUAUAUUAUACAAGAAAAUCUCAUGGAAAAUUAAAAUACAAAUAAAUGAGAGUUUAAUUACCUAUUAUUGAAAGGGGUAAUCUUGAUAACCAAGCCAGGAAAAACAUCAUCAGGGUCAUGAAUGUGAGGGUUUUCUUCAACUAUAUAAGGAUCGCCACAUUUUUCACUAAUGGUGUGUAAGGUCUCUCCUUCUCGAACCAUAUAGAUCUCAUCGCAAAUCUUGUUCACAAUGUCCUUAUUCUGGUUCACAGUCAAGCUAAAUUCGCUUUCGGUUUCGCUGACUUCACAGCAGCUGAAAACCAGCAGUGUUGCCAUGAGCAAAGCACAGUAGCAAGAAAUCUUCUCUGCCAUUAUAGUUGAUGAAGAAACACCCACCAUUAUUGAAUAACUAGGCUAAAUUCUUGCUUCUUAAUGUGUUCUGGCUUUAAAAGCUUUUGCCUA
rnacentral:misc_RNA from 1 species